rnacentral:rRNA from 1 species
GCAAGUCGAGCGAACGGACGAGAAGCUUGCUUCUCUGAUGUUAGCGGCGGACGGGUGAGUAACACGUGGAUAACCUACCUAUAAGACUGGGAUAACUUCGGGAAACCGGAGCUAAUACCGGAUAAUAUUUUGAACCGCAUGGUUCAAAAGUGAAAGACGGUCUUGCUGUCACUUAUAGAUGGAUCCGCGCUGCAUUAGCUAGUUGGUAAGGUAACGGCUUACCAAGGCAACGAUGCAUAGCCGACCUGAGAGGGUGAUCGGCCACACUGGAACUGAGACACGGUCCAGACUCCUACGGGAGGCAGCAGUAGGGAAUCUUCCGCAAUGGGCGAAAGCCUGACGGAGCAACGCCGCGUGAGUGAUGAAGGUCUUCGGAUCGUAAAACUCUGUUAUUAGGGAAGAACAUAUGUGUAAGUAACUGUGCACAUCUUGACGGUACCUAAUCAGAAAGCCACGGCUAACUACGUGCCAGCAGCCGCGGUAAUACGUAGGUGGCAAGCGUUAUCCGGAAUUAUUGGGCGUAAAGCGCGCGUAGGCGGUUUUUUAAGUCUGAUGUGAAAGCCCACGGCUCAACCGUGGAGGGUCAUUGGAAACUGGAAAACUUGAGUGCAGAAGAGGAAAGUGGAAUUCCAUGUGUAGCGGUGAAAUGCGCAGAGAUAUGGAGGAACACCAGUGGCGAAGGCGACUUUCUGGUCUGUAACUGACGCUGAUGUGCGAAAGCGUGGGGAUCAAACAGGAUUAG